rnacentral:pre_miRNA from 1 species
GUUGAGAGGAAUGUUGUCUGGCUCGAGGUCAUAUUACUUCUCAUCGAUCUGAUCCGAUCCCAUCCUCGGACCAGGCUUCAUUCCUCCCACC